rnacentral:rRNA from 1 species
GAGUACGGCCGCAAGGUUAAAACUCAAAGGAAUUGACGGGGACCCGCACAAGCGGUGGAUGAUGUGGAUUAAUUCGAUGCAACGCGAAAAACCUUACCUACCCUUGACAUGUCGAGAACUUUUCAGAGAUGAAUUGGUGCCCGAAAGGGAACUUGAACACAGGUGCUGCAUGGCUGUCGUCAGCUCGUGUCGUGAGAUGUUGGGUUAAGUCCCGCAACGAGCGCAACCCUUGUCCUUAGUUGCUACGCAAGAGCACUCUAAGGAUACUGCCGGUGACAAACCGGAGGAAGGUGGGGAUGACGUCAAGUCCUCAUGGCCCUUAUGGGUAGGGCUUCACACGUCAUACAAUGGUCGGUACAGAGGGUCGCCAACCCGCGAGGGGGAGCCAAUCCCACAAAACCGAUCGUAGUCCGGAUUGCAGUCUGCAACCCGACUGCAUGAAGUCGGAAUCGCUAGUAAUCGCGGAUCAGCAUGUCGCGGUGAAUACGUUCCCGGGUCUUGUACACACCGCCCGUCACACCAUGGGAGUGGGUUUUACCAGAAGUAGUUAGCCUAACCGCAAGGAGGGCGAUUACCACGGUAGGUCUCAUGACUGGGGUG